AUUGAACGCUGGCGGCAGGCCUAACACAUGCAAGUCGAACGGUAACAGGAAACAGCUUGCUGUUUCGCUGACGAGUGGCGGACGGGUGAGUAAUGUCUGGGAAACUGCCUGAUGGAGGGGGAUAACUACUGGAAACGGUAGCUAAUACCGCAUAACGUCGCAAGACCAAAGAGGGGGACCUUCGGGCCUCCUGCCAUCGGAUGUGCCCAGAUGGGAUUAGCUAGUAGGUGGGGUAACGGCUCACCUAGGCGACGAUCCCUAGCUGGUCUGAGAGGAUGACCAGCCACACUGGAACUGAGACACGGUCCAGACUCCUACGGGAGGCAGCAGUGGGGAAUAUUGCACAAUGGGCGCAAGCCUGAUGCAGCCAUGCCGCGUGUAUGAAGAAGGCCUUCGGGUUGUAAAGUACUUUCAGCGGGGAGGAAGGGAGUAAAGUUAAUACCUUUGCUCAUUGACGUUACCCGCAGAAGAAGCACCGGCUAACUCCGUG
rnacentral:rRNA from 1 species